CAAAUUUUAUUGAUUACAUAUAUAGGUAGGCUUUGGCUCAGGUACUGGGUAUAAAUCCAUCAUCAGCCUCCAGAUGGAGGGCUGAUGCUUAAGCAGGAUCAUGCCUGAGGUCAUUCAAGAUGUGGGUCUACUAAGGUGGCCCUCUUUAGGCUGCUGAGGGACACUCUACGGCCCGUCUGCCCCAUGAUUGUCUUCUGGACAGAGACUUCCACUUACCCCAGCUGGCCCCUGAUAGGGCAAUUUCAAACUUUAAGGCAGUGGCUGGCCAGGGAGGCAUUCCAACAGUCAUUUCACCCUCCAAGUGUGUGAGGGGCUGCUGCCCUGGACAACAACCUCCGUCCACCUCUGGACCAGGUAAGCAGUCAUUCUUUGCAUCAAAAGAAUGUUCUCAUUGGUGACAAAGUCCCACAAGAAUUAGAUGAUAAAUUUUAAAUUAUGUACAUACACAAUAAACACAAAAUAAUGGGUGUGCAUGUUCACAUAUAAAACUCUUAUAGUAUCAUUUAAAAUGAAUAUACAUAAAAGUAGUUCAUAGGAAAAUUAUAAACAAUGCAGAAUAUAGUCUCUGAAACAAUUAUUUUGCAUUCAUCGCUAACCUAAUAUUAACACAAAACUUUCAUAAGCCCAAAUGAACUAGGAAACAGAUUGUUUAUGUGUGCAAAUUGAUAUUGUGUAAUGGGACAUAAAUGUGAUUUAUUUCUUUUUAAUUUAAAAUAUUUUAAGACCACACUUCAGGGCCCAUCCAAAGCAGCUUACAUUUAAAAAAUAAAAAGAUAAAAAGAUAAAAAGAAUUCAAACUUUUUAAACUUUAAACUACCACUCAACAGUGCUACACAUAAAUAAUAAUAAUAAUAAUAAUAAUAAUAAUAAUAAUAAUAAUAACGGAAUUGGGGAAAAGCAGACCAUCACAGAUCUAAAACAGUUGUGCCUAGAAGGUUAUCUGAAAAACAAAUACAGUAAGUCUUGAGGGGCAUCCAAAAAUCCUGCAAUGCAGAAAGCUGAUGCAGGUCUAGUGAAUGGAAAUUCCAGGUAUAGGGCGGUAUAGAAAUUCAAAUAAUAAUAAUAAUAAUAAUAAUAAUAAUAAUACAUAGCCAUGAGGUCACCUCAAAAAAUGACUUCUCCAAUGAGACCACCUACGGAACUGACCAAGGGAUAGCCACACAAGGAGAUCUUUGAAAGCAGACCUUAAAGUGUUGACACAAUGGCAUGGGUGCAGGCAGUUCAAUAAGCAGCUUAGACCCAAACUGUUUAGGGCUUUAAAGGUCAAAAGUAGCACUUUAAUUUGAGUCCCAAAACGCACCAGUGUACAGGACAACUGACAUAAUUGAGAUGCUGCUCACCCUACCCACAACUGGACUCUGGGAAGCACGUUCUGGACCAGCUGAAGUUUCCAACCUGUCUUUAUAGCACAUUACAGCCAUCUAGUUUGUAGCCGGCAGAAGGCAUUCCUGUUAUUGCAUUUGUUCACACUGCUGAAGCAUAUUUGACCACAGUCAUUCAAGUUGACUGAUUCCUGAUAUAGUUUCCUUCAUGGUGGCAAAAAACAACAGUGCAAUUAUGUGUGGUCUUAUAGCACUUGUAGGUAGGCCUCCACAUGCCUUCUUACUAAAUUGCUCUUCAUCUGAAACCAGAGUUCACAAAAUACAAAUAUAAUAAAAUGUAUUUCAUAUUAAACAUUAAACCACUGUAAAACUCCACCCACCAUACCCAGCAAUAUAUUUUAUUCCAAGCUGAGAAUUAAUAGCCAGCAAAGGCCUGGGUAAACAGGUAGGUUUUAAGCAGGUGCAGAAAGCUAAUCACAGUCAGUGCCUGACUUAGUUCAGAGAGAGGGAGUUCCAAAGGGUAGACACUAACACAGAACUGAUUCAAAGUUACAGCGCCUCAUUUCAUAGCAUUUUUCAUAGCAUAACUUUCCCUUUCCCUACCCCUUUCUAAACCUUAAUUCACAGACACGGGGGAUGGAGGUUACUCACAGAGGCACAUACCAAGGACCUGGGUUAGGGAUCCUGUAACAAGCAAAAUUAGGAAAUUGUGAAAUUUUGCUGUUUCUCUGAAUUGUAAUCCUUGUUGUGAAUUGUAAUCCUUUCCCCAAUUCGUCUUCUUCAUUCCACUAGGCCUUCUCUGCCCCAAAUUGCUUUCUCUGAAUUGCUUCUCCACCUUGGCUUCUCUGCUCAAAGUGCCUUCUCUGAAUUGGCACUGAGACAGAACUGCUUGGAGACAGAACAUGGGAUGGGAAAGCACUGUCCUAUAUCAUAGGAUCUAGAAUGCCAUUGGCUUACAGGACCAGCAAUGCCAAAAUCCAAGUUGAUCUCUGUACUAUUCUUUUCGCAGUCAUAGGAAUAUUCUCCCUUUGCAUAGUCCCAAAGUUUCUGUAUAGUGAAGUAGAAAAGUUCGUGUUGCUGACAUUGCUCGUCAACUAGGCCACACCUACUUCUUAGCCUUCCUGUAAGAAGAAUCCAUUCACAUACAAACAAACACACAAAUGUAACUGCUCCAUCCUGGUUGCCAUGCAGUUGCUAAGGCUUGAACUAUUUCUUACCCAAGUAGAUACAUUGUGUUCUGCAAAGCUCACAACUUAUGUUUUCAGUCCAAUUGGGUUACAAACACAACUUUACUUAACUUUUAAAGGGAUAAAGGUAAAGGUAAAGGUCCCAGACAGUUAAGCCCAGUUGCGAACGACUCUGGGGUUGCAGCGCUCAUCUCGCUUUACUGGCCGAGGGAGCCGGUGUACAGCUCCCAGGUCAUGUGGCCAGCAUGACUAAGCCGCUUCUGGCGAACCAGAGAAGCACAUGGAAACGCCGUUUACCUUCCCGCCAGAGCGGUACCUAUUUAUCUACUUGCACUUUGACAUGCUUUCGAACUGCUAGGUUGGCAGGAGCAGGGACCAAGCAACGGGAGCUCACCCCGUCGCAGGGAUUCGAACCGCCGACCUUCCGAUCGGCAAACCCUACGCUCAGUGGUUUAGAACACAGUGCCACCCACGUCCGUUAGAGGGAUAAAGGGAUAGAAUAGAAUAAAUGGGUUUGAUACAUUUAUUUAAAAGCAUUAUAUAUGACUAUGUCAUAAGCAUAAAUGUCUCUAAACAACAUUAAGUUACUAGGUUUUCAGAUAUAUGAAUUAGCCCUAGUACUUUUGCUUAUUAGGGUUGCCAACUUACUAACAUGUUUAAAAAUGUACUGUCUUUAGCUGUGAGAAGUGCUGUCUAUGGGAUAGAAUGUUGGACUUGGACCAAAGAGACUGGACCAAAGAGACUGAAGAUUAAGUGUGAACUCCAUAAUUUGGUGGUGUAAGGUUCUCACACAAGUGAUUACUGUACUUAUUAACCUGAAAUAGCUAGAAUUGUCAUUCAGAACAAUCAGAUAUAACUUUGACAUAAAUGCAUUAAGAACAUAAGAAUACAGAUUCCUGAAUAUAUCUAGUUCAGUAUCCUGUUCUCAAGAUGGUCAACCAGAUGCUUAUGAGAAGCCCACAAAGGACAUGUGUAAGAGACCGCUCCCAUUUGCAAUUACCAGCAACUGGUUUUUAAAGGCAUACUGCUCUUGGAGGCAAUAUAGCCAUCAUGAUCACCAGUAGCCAUUGACAGCCUUAUGCUUUAUGCAAUUGUCUAUUCCCCUUUUAAAAGCGCCAAGCUGAUAACCAUCUCUGCAUUCUGUGGUAGUGUAUUCCUAUAUGCUGUGUGAAGAAAUACUUCAUUUUGUCUGUCUAAAACUCCCUCUAUUUAGCUUCAUUCAAUAAUGCCAGGUUCUAGUAUUAGGAGAGGGAGAAAACUUUCUCUCUCUCCAUUUUCUCCACACCAUGUAUAAUUUUAUACACCUCCAUCAUGUCCCCACUCACCUUUUUUCUAUACUACAAACCCCAUAGUCCUCAUAGUCGAGUUGCUCCAGCCCCUUGAUCAUUCUGGCUGAGCUUUUCUGUACCUUUUCCAGCUCUAUAACAACCUUUUUGAGGUGCAUUGACCCAAACUGUACACAGCAUUCUAAGUGUGAUCGCAGCACAGAUUUUAUACAUUAGCAUUAUGAUAUUAUUUUUUUUAUCUUCAAUCACUUUCCUAAUGAUCCUCAAUAUGGAGUUCAGCUUUUUCACAUCUACUGCACCCUGAGCUUCUUCACCGACCUAGUUUCUUGCAUUGAGCCAUUUGUGCCAUUUUAAUUCUCAUCCACACCAACUAGAGAGAUUAUUUUGAGCUUCUUGUAAUCUCUGUUUGUUUUAACUACUCGGAAUAAUUUGGUAUCAUCAGCAUACUUGGCAAUGUUACUGCUCACCUCUAACUCCUGGUCAUUUAUGAACAAAUUAAUUCGUCUUCAGCAGACUUGUUCUAUAUGCUUGGUAACUCUAUCUUCAGUGGAUACCACAAGGACCCGAAGAUAGGUGGAGAUAUUUGCUCAACUUGUCUGCAAUAUCAUUUUCCUCAAUAUUUUAGUUGUAUAUGUUAUGAUAUUUAAGAAUUGGGCAAAUUUAUAUGUAAUAUUAAUAUCUUAAAAGAGGCCAAUGUGUUUUUUUUGGGGGGGGGAAAUGUUUUCAAAUUAAGAACUCAUAUUGUUGUGAGGGAGGGUUGGGGGGGGGUCAGUCUGCAUGAUGCCCUGAGUUCAUUCCAAUUCUUGGGUUCAAGUAUCUGUGGGGUUCAACUUCCGCAAUAGGCAUUGGAAAAGUUAGCAGCGGGUGGGUGUAAAUUUGAGGCUGAUAGUAUUUAGUUGCCAUGAACAACUGUUCUAUGUAUACUGAGAUGAUUCCUUUCCCUGACCUUGCCCGCUGAAGUAAUGUAGAUUAACUGAAGAACACCUUCAUUUGUUUUGGUAUUCCAGAUGAGUAUCUGUCCAGCAAUGCAACUUAAUUUAUGGCAGCAGAACCCCCAUCAUUCCAGACAUUUUACAACUUUUGCCAUGUUACCACUAACCCUGACCAACCACAAGCAAAUAGGGAGGCGGAGGGAGCAGUACCAAUAGCAAAUAACGUUUUAUGAUAGAUUGACCCACAUACAGAUCUUCUACACUACAGGUCAACAUUACUGAUAGCUGCAGGAUAUAGCUCAACAGAAUUGCUACUGGCAAGAGAAAUCAGAACCACCCAAUCCAACUCUAGAGAAGAAUCUCAAUCCAAAUUAAAAUAAGUUAUGAGCAGCACAAUUUAGUGCAAGAUCUACCAUGUUUAACUCCAGGCAAGAGAGUUUAUCUCAAACUUGAUGUAGAAAAGACAUAGCAGACUCCACUUACUGUCCAAAGAAAAAACGAAACACUCAGAUCAUAUUUUACUCAGGGGUGGAAUACUUCACAGAAAGAAAUGCCAUCUUCCUAUUCCUAAGAAGGCACAAUCGCUGAAUGCACAAAUGGUGUUUGAAAACUCAAGUUCAUCUACUGAGACUCAGCUAGAGCCAUCGUGUAAGACUGACAGCAAUAUUACUACUCAGACUGUCAAUUGCUCUAGACAAGUUAUUUGGAAGCCUUCAAGAUUAGAGAUGAGUGACUGAAUACCUGAAUACAUACAGAUUUCAACAGCACUGAUUUAUUUAAUGGCUUCUUUAAACAAAAGAGGGAAAAUGUAUAGAUAAUGUCAUUACGUAGUUUAGUCACUAGGUAUCACUGACUUAAUUGUAUCUGGAUGGAAUCUUGGGUUUAUUAUGUUACUUACUUACUUACUUACUUACUUAUUUAUCACAUUUAUACCCCACCUUUCCUCCCAACGAGCUCUAUGUGGAAUACAGUGGUACCUCUAGUAGCAGACGUAAUCCAUUUUGGGGUGCCGUUCGCACCCCGAAAAGACCGCAACUAGAGUGCCUCUUCUGCGCAUGCGUGGGUGGUGAACCCGGAAGUAAACACUUCCGGGUUUGCCACGUUCGUAAGCUGAAAGUCCGUAAGAAGAGCGGAACGCAACAUGAGGUGUGACUGUACAUGGUUCCCCCCCCCUCAAUUAAUCCCCACAACCCUACUGUGUAGAGGAUUUGGCUGAGAGGCAGUGAGUGGCCCAAGGUCACCCAGUGAGCUUCAUGGGUGAGUGGGGAUUUGAACCCUGGUGUCCAAUGUUCUAUUCCAACACACUAACCACUGAUGGCAUGUUACUGCUGUGUUCUUGUUUUAAAAAAUGCAACAACGUUCUUGUCUAACUUCCUAUUUGGUGUAACCUCUAAGUUAUCCAUGAAUUGUAAACCCUUUGGACAGCUGUCCCUUUGUUUAAUAAUAAAAAGUGGUG